UUUCCCAUUUGACUACCACUCCAGCCCUUAGUAAGAUUGUAGUGGCUAUGCUUGUGGGAUAGAGUGAUUUUUACCAUGAUCUGAAGAAGGAGGUUUAUUGUGUACUCCUAUAUGAAAUGGCUGUACAGAAAAAG
ensembl:snoRNA